rnacentral:rRNA from 1 species
AUUGAACGCUGGCGGCAGGCCUAACACAUGCAAGUCGAGCGGCAGCGGGAAAUUAGCUUGCUACUUUUGCCGGCGAGCGGCGGACGGGUGAGUAAUGCCUGGGAAAUUGCCCAGUCGAGGGGGAUAACAGUUGGAAACGACUGCUAAUACCGCAUACGCCCUACGGGGGAAAGCAGGGGACCUUCGGGCCUUGCGCGAUUGGAUAUGCCCAGGUGGGAUUAGCUAGUUGGUGAGGUAAUGGCUCACCAAGGCGACGAUCCCUAGCUGGUCUGAGAGGAUGAUCAGCCACACUGGAACUGAGACACGGUCCAGACUCCUACGGGAGGCAGCAGUGGGGAAGAUUGCACAAUGGGGGAAACCCUGAUGCAGCGAUGCCGCGUGUGUGAAGAAGGCCUUCGGGUUGUAAAGCACUUUCAGCGAGGAGGAAAGGUUGAUGCCUAAUACGCAUCAACUGUGACGUUACUCGCAGAAGAAGCACCGGCUAACUCCGUGCCAGCCGCCGCAGUAA